rnacentral:rRNA from 1 species
UGGNUGAUCCNGNCGGAGGNCACUGCGACCUUUGAUUCGAUUAAGCCAUGCGAGUCGAGAGGGUUCGGCCCUCGGCGUACUGCUCAGUAACACGUGGAUAACCUGCCCUAGGGAAGGGGAUAAUCCCGGGAAACUGGGGAUAAUACCCUAUAGGUUACAGAUGCUGGAAUGCUCUGUAAUCAAAAGUUCCGGCGCCCUAGGAUGGAUCUGCGGCCGAUUAGGUUGUUGUUGGGGUAAUGGCCCAACAAGCCAGUAAUCGGUACGGGUUGUGGGAGCAAGAGCCCGGAGUUGGAUUCUGAGACACGAAUCCAGGCCCUACGGGGCGCAGCAGGCACGAAAACUUUACAAUGCGGGCAACCGUGAUAAGGGAACCUCGAGUGCCUGUAAAUGCAGGCUGUUCAGAUGCCUAAAACACAUCUGGAGAAAGGGCCGGGCAAGACCGGUGCCAGCCGCCGCGGUAAUACCGGCGGCUCGAGUGGUGGCCACUUUUAUUGGGCUUAAAGCGUUCGUAGCUGGGUUGUUAAGUCUCUUGGGAAAUCUGGCGGCUUAACCGUCAGGCGUCUAAGGGAUACUGGCAAUCUUGGAACCGGGAGAGGUGAGGGGUACUUCGGGGGAUAGGAGUGAAAUCCUGU